UGCCAGCAGCCGCGGUAAGACGGAGGGCGCAAGCGUUGUUCGGAAUCACUGGGCAUAAAGAGCACGUAGGCUGUCAGUUAAGUCGGGUGUGAAAGCCCUCGGCCCAACCGAGGAACUGCAUUCGAUACUGGCUGACUCGAGGACAGGAGGGGUGAGUGGAACUCCAGGUGGAACGGUGAAAUGUGUAGAUAUCUGGAGGAACACCGGUGGCGAAAGCGGCUCACUGGCCUGUCUCUGACGCUGAGGUGCGAAAGCUAGGGUAGCGAACGGGAUUAGAUA
rnacentral:rRNA from 1 species